rnacentral:rRNA from 1 species
ACGGUCCUAAGGUAGCGAAAUUCCUUGUCAGGUAAGUUCUGACCCGCACGAAAGGCGUAAUGAUUUGGGCGCUGUCUCGACAAUGUACUCGGCGAAAUUGUAGUACUAGUGAAGAUGCUAGUUACCUGCGACAAGACAGAAAGACCCCAUGGAGCUUUACUGUAGCUUGAUACUGGGUUUCGAUAAUUUAUGUACAGGAUAGGUGGGAGACUAUGAAGCAAGUGCGCCAGCAUUUGUGGAGUCAAUGUUGGGAUACCACCCUUAAGUUAUUGGAAUUCUAACCUGCGGUCCUAAGCGGGCCGGGGGACAAUGUCAGGCGGGCAGUUUGACUGGGGCGGUCGCCUCCUAAAGAGUAACGGAGGCGCGCAAAGGUUUCCUCAGCGCGGACAGAAAUCGCGCGAAAGAGUGCAAAGGCAGAAGGAAGCUUAACUGAGAGACUGACAAGUCGACCAGAUACGAAAGUAGGUCUUAGUGAUCCGGCGGUAGUGAGUGGAAAUGCCGUCGCUCAACGGACAAAAGUUACCCUGGGGAUAACAGGCUUAUCUCCCCCAAGAGUUCACAUCGACGGGGAGGUUUGGCACCUCGAUGUCGGCUCAUCACAUCCUGGGGCUGGAGUAGGUCCCAAGGGUUGGGCUGUUCGCCCAUUAAAGUGGUACGCGAGCUGGGUUCAGAACGUCGUGAGACAGUUCGGUCCUUAUCUGUCGCAGGCGCAGGAUAUUUGAGGGGAGUUGGCCCUAGUACGAGAGGACCAGGCUGAACUUACCAAUGGUGCACCAGUUGUCAUACCAAUGGCAUAGCUGGGUAGCUAAGUAGGGAAGGGAUAAACGCUGAAAGCAUCUAAGUGUGAAGCCCACCCCAAGAUAAGAUAUCCCAUACCGUAAGGUAGUAAGAUUCCACGUAGACUAUGUGGUUGAUAGGUUGGAGGUGUAAGUACAGUAAUGUAUUAAGCUGACCAAUACUAAUAAAUCGAGGGCUUAACCAC